UUUCACUUGCAGGAGGCUUCCGAGUCGCUUCUACGUUGUUGUAGUGCUACGGGUCGUUCGGUACAGGAGUUGGGUAUUAUGUAAGGGAUAGGAGGAGCGAAGAGAGAGAGAACGAGAGAGAGACAGAGUAGGAAGGAGCGGAGUAUAUAGCUAGCUCAGAGCACCAUCCAUAGCGAGCCAGAAGGCUACACCCAGUACUACUAGGCAGACCUCACAUAGCUAUUCACCCUACAUAGCUACACCUAUACCCCGGUACCUACUAGUGUAUGCCAGCCUACUACACCUGCC
rnacentral:sRNA from 1 species